rnacentral:lncRNA from 1 species
CUGAAUUCUAAAAUAGCUACUAUGAAGGGCAACGUGGACAGACUGGCAACUAGGGUGUCUUGACCCACAGGGAUCCGUGGUGAUGGCUAAUAACCCCUGGUGUUCCUGGGAAAGAUUGGGAGUCACCAAGAUGAAUCGUGGCCGAUGACGGUUGUCUGCCAUCAACCUAAUCACAACUGCUGUGCUGUCUUCACUGGAACAGAUCAACACGGCCCUGGUUCCUGGCAUGCAGCUAGUGGUCUGGUGAAUGCAUUCUUUCCAUUCCCAUCAAUAAAAAGGACCAAAGGCAGUUCAUG